UGGGGAAUAUUGCACAAUGGGCGCAAGCCUGAUGCAGCCAUGCCGCGUGUGUGAAGAAGGCCUUCGGGUUGUAAAGCACUUUCAGCGGGGAGGAAGGCGAUAAGGUUAAUAACCUUGUCGAUUGACGUUACCCGCAGAAGAAGCACCGGCUAACUCCGUGCCAGCAGCCGCGGUAAUACGGAGGGUGCAAGCGUUAAUCGGAAUUACUGGGCGUAAAGCGCACGCAGGCGGUCUGUCAAGUCGGAUGUGAAAUCCCCGGGCUCAAGCUGGGAACUGCAUUCGAAACUGGCAGGCUAGAGUAUUGUAGAGGGGGGUAGAAUUCCAGGUGUAGCGGUGAAAUGCGUAGAGAUCUGGAGGAAUACCGGUGGCGAAGGCGGCCCCCUGGACAAAGACUGACGCUCAGGUGCGAAAGCGUGUGGAGCAAACAGG
rnacentral:rRNA from 1 species